AUUUGCAUAGUAAUUUCCAAAACACAAGGCCAAUAUGGCCUUGAAAAACUGACCAAUCGACUCAAUGAACUACAAUGCAUUGUGGGCUACUACGAGUAAACUACUACUUAAAACACGUGGAAUUAGUGGGAAAACAGUCAACUAAUAUAUUGUCUGGGACUCUAAUUACCAAUGUUUUUAUUCUGCAAAUAUAUUUAAUGUAAAAUAUAUAACGUAAUAUUCAAUUUGCAUGCUCAGAUUAAAAAAAUAUUGUUUACUGGCUUCACGAUUCGAC
rnacentral:lncRNA from 1 species